GGAGCCAGCAGUGGUUAGGGCGUCGGACUUGUAAUCCGGAGGUCCCGGGUUCAAGUCCUCCACCCGAGUUCAAC